rnacentral:rRNA from 1 species
CUUGAGUUUGAUUCCCUGCUCAGGACGAACGCUGCGGCGUGCUUAACACAUGCAAGUCGAACGAUGAUGCCCAGCUUGCUGGGGUGGAUUAGUGGCGAACGGGUGAGUAACACGUGAGUAACCUGCCCCUGACUCUGGGAUAAGCGUUGGAAACGACGUCUAAUACUGGAUAUGACUUCCGGCCGCAUGGUCUGGUGGUGGAAAGAUUUUUUGGUUGGGGAUGGACUCGCGGCCUAUCAGCUUGUUGGUGAGGUAAUGACUCACCAAGGCGACGACGGGUAGCCGGCCUGAGAGGGUGACCGGCCACACUGGGACUGAGACACGGCCCAGACUCCUACGGGAGGCAGCAGUGGGGAAUAUUGCACAAUGGGCGAAAGCCUGAUGCAGCAACGCCGCGUGAGGGAUGACGGCCUUCGGGUUGUAAACCUCUUUUAGUAGGGAAGAAGCGAAAGUGACGGUACCUGCAGAAAAAGCACCGGCUAACUACGUGCCAGCAGCCGCGGUAAUACGUAGGGUGCAAGCGUUGUCCGGAAUUAUUGGGCGUAAAGAGCUCGUAGGCGGUUUGUCGCGUCUGCUGUGAAAUCCCGAGGCUCAACCUCGGGCUUGCAGUGGGUACGGGCAGACUAGAGUGCGGUAGGGGAGAUUGGAAUUCCUGGUGUAGCGGUGGAAUGCGCAGAUAUCAGGAGGAACACCGAUGGCGAAGGCAGAUCUCUGGGCCGUAACUGACGCUGAGGAGCGAAAGCAUGGGGAGCGAACAGGAUUAGAUACCCUGGUAGUCCAUGCCGUAAACGUUGGGCAAUAGAUGUAGGGACCUUUCCACGGUUUCUGUGUCGUAGCUAACGCAUUAAGCGCCCCGCCCGGGAGAACCUC